UGGACUUGAGGAGAAUCACUGAACUUGGUGU
rnacentral:piRNA from 1 species